ACUCUGUUCACCCUACAACUCUUGCAUGUGAUUCAAUAUAUCCCCGGCAGUCUUCAUGUUCUCAUGCUGGCAUUAAAGUUCAUUGGACAUUGAUGCCAUUAUAUAGCACCUAAUUUUAUUGUCAUUAUUCGUCCACUUGACAUGCAUCUUAUGCUGAUCAGUGAUCAGACGGACUGGUAACGCAGAAAAUUCAUGGUCUAGCACACACCCUAAU
rnacentral:lncRNA from 1 species